CAAAAAAUAAUUUAAUUAAGAAUGUUAAUUUUGGAGAUUAAAUGUAUAAUAUUAAUUAUUUUUUUGA
rnacentral:tRNA from 1 species